rnacentral:rRNA from 1 species
CCAGUGGCGGACGGGUGAGUAACGCGUAAGAACCUGCCCUUGGGAGGGGAACAACAGCUGGAAACGGCUGCUAAUACCCCAUAGGCUGAGGAGCAAAGGAGGAAUCCGCCCAAGGAGGGGCUCGCGUCUGAUUAGUUAGUUGGUGAGGCAAUGGCUUACCAAGGCGACGAUCAGUAGCUGGUCCGAGAGGAUGAUCAGCCACACUGGGACUGAGACACGGCCCAG